rnacentral:rRNA from 1 species
UACGUAGGGCGCAAGCGUUGUCCGGAAUUAUUGGGCGUAAAGAGCUCGUAGGCGGCUUGUCACGUCGGGUGUGAAAGCCCGGGGCUUAACCCCGGGUCUGCAUUCGAUACGGGCUGGCUGGAGUGUGGUAGGGGAGAUCGGAAUUCCUGGUGUAGCGGUGAAAUGCGCAGAUAUCAGGAGGAACACCAGUGGCGAAGGCGGCUAUCUGGACGGUUUCUGACGCUAAGACGCGAAAGCGUGGGGAGCAAACAGG